rnacentral:rRNA from 1 species
GACGAACGCUGGCGGCGUGCUUAACACAUGCAAGUCGAACGGAAAGGCCCUGCUUGCAGGGUGCUCGAGUGGCGAACGGGUGAGUAACACGUGGGUGAUCUGCCCCUUACUUUGGGAUAAGCCUGGGAAACUGGGUCUAAUACUGGAUAGGACCAUGCUGUAGGUGGUGUGGUGGAAAGAUUAGUUUCGGUAAGGGAUGAGCUCGCGGCCUAUCAGCUUGUUGGUGGGGUAAUGGCCUACCAAGGCGUCGACGGGUGGCCGGCCUGGGAGGGUGGACGGCCACAUUGGGACUGAGAUACGGCCCAGACUCCUACGGGAGGCAGCAGUGGGGAAUAUUGCAAAAUGGGCGAAAGCCUGAUGCAGCGAAGCCGCGUGGGGGAUGACGGACUUCGGGUUGUAAACUCCUUUCAGCCAUGACGAAGCCCUUGUGGUGACGGUAGUGGUAGAAGAAGCACCGGCUAACUACGUG